UUUUUUUUUUUCUUCAAUUAACUGUGAACGUUUUAGACAGAGUAAGCAUUCUCCUGUUUGCCUGCUCAUCCCUCUUGUCUUGGUCAUGAUCACACAUUUGUGUUACCUGGUUUGGUCCUGUAGCCAUGUGAGUUUAUGACUCAUGACCUCCUCAGAUCAUCUCACCUGUGUCUCUUGUGUAGAAGUUACACACUGAGUGCUUUAUAAACAUCUCAUAAGCUCAUGGAAGGCAAAAAUACUGCGUUUUCCACAUAGAUGCAUUUGCCACGGACAGGGAUUCUGUUGGUCCAGCUUUACGUAUUUUCAUCAUAUUCUGUUUUUAUUAUUUCCCUCUUUUGUUCUUUUCUUCUGUAGUCAACAUUUUUUUUUCUCCAAUGGAAAAUUUAAGACUGGUAGGAAAGAAGGCAAAGGUAGAGGAAAAGACUGUGACCCAACCUGACUACUGAUUUUAUCUGACCUGAUUUCAAACUGCUCUCUGAGUUUAUUUUGUGAUGGAGCAAAUAGUUCAUAUUCAUAUGACCAAGAAUAGAAGGUAAACUAUAUCUUCUACGAGACUGGGGCUAGGUGAAAUACGUCAGUUUAUUUUACAUUAGAAAUGAUGAAGGAUUAAAUAAGUAUUCGAAUCAUGAAAUAUUUGAACAGUUUUUAGUAAUAAAAUCUACCUCCCCCCCACCCUGGGGCGCUUGGCUGGUUCAGUCAGAGGAGGAUGCAACUCUUGAUCUUGGGGUUGUGAGUUUGAGCCCCACGUUGGGUGUAGGGAUUACUUAAAAAUAAAAUCUUUAAAAAAAUAAAACCCAUACCCAAGUUCACCUCUGAGGUCAGCCGCUAAGGGGGACAAGAGUGAAGUCAAUCUACCCUUUAUCAAUAAUGUUUUGAACCUAUUUGCAGUUGACAAAUACAGGCAGGCAGCAAAGUCCAUGAGCGGCUUUCACAGAGAAGGGCUGGGGGAAGCCAGAUGACUCACUGUUUGUUUGAUUUAGCAGUUGGAAUAAAUACCCUCGCUAGUUUGUUUUGUUCUCACUCAAUUCCCAACUUCCCAUUUCCUUUUCUAAUGAAAAAUCAAGUCUGAAACAUUGCUCAUCAAACUGCCUUCAUGUGUCAAAAUUUCAUAACAUAGGCCUGACCGAUGAAGUCCCUUGAAUGCUGGCUAUUUGCUGAGUUACCUCUGGGAAUCAGUGGGGAGAAGAGCGAAAAAUGCACAUGAAUAUUCAUGGACAUAACAGACCCUUUCUUUUCAGUGUGCUCUAAAACCAGAGGGAGGCUCUAACAGUGACGCUUCGAUUUUCCUCCUGUCUCUUUUCAGAGUUCUUUUCAGAAAUUCUCUCCAAGGAAGGGUUUUCAGGGAUCCAGAUGAAAAGCAGGAUAUAAACACAAGGUGUCCAGCUCAUCUCUGAUCUGUGCCUCAGGGAGAAGGAGGCUUAUUCUGAAGGCUUCGCCGUACAAAGAAGAGGAGCCUUCUAACCCGACAUACCCUGCCUGCAUAGCUGCCUGUAGGGUGAUGGCUGCACUUUUAAAUAGAGUAUCUGGGCUCUCAGCUGCUUGUAGCCUUGGCCAGGUGCACAGAAGGUGCCAUCUGUCUCUGCCCAAUAGCUCUGACCUCUAUAACUUUGUCAGAAGGCUCAUAGGUCUUUCUAGAUGUUUCCCCAGAGCUCUCAUUCCAGGCACUGAAGAUAGAUAUCUGGAAGGAAUCUUUUCAAUGCCUCCAUGGCCAAAGGGCAAUAUAGUAGCUGUGACAAAGCCAUUACUCAUAUUUCACCUCAUGCAGAAUGGAGGGAGCCUCUUUCCAGCUCGAAGGGCUGCCAUCUUGGGCAGGAAGAGGGCAGCCAGUAGGAUGCUUCUCCAUGAGGUCCACCUGGCUUUCCUCCCUGGGGUGCAGAGGACCAAUCACAGCCACCAAGGCACAGAGCACCCCCAAGAAGCUGUUGAUGUGGAACACACCUGCCCCUCAGGGCAGACUUAAAGAGUGCAAUGAUGGGGUCAGGGCCCAAGGGUGAAGCUGACUAUACUGCAAUUUUCUGUUCCCACUGGGCUGGAAUGCUUCCCAUUUCCAAGGGGGGAGCCAUAAGGGCUGAGGAAGGAUUUUCUCUCCGUCAUAUGCAGGAGGCUGCAUGUCUUAUGCACUUCUUUCCUGAAGUUAAAAAAAAAAAAAGUGUGUGUGUAUACACCAUACAUGCAGAUAUACACAUAUAUAUUGAAAUAUAUAGUAUAUAUUGGACACUGACCAUAGAUGUUACCUAUAUAUUUUUUAAAGAUUUUAUUUAUUUAUUCAUGAGAGACACACAGAGAGGGAGAGGCAGAGACAAAGGCAGAGGGAGAAGCAGGCUCCAUCCAGGGAGCCCAACGUGGGACUCGAUCCCGGGACUCCAGGAUCAUACCCUGGGCUGCAGGCGGUGCUAAACCACUGCACCACCAGGGCUGCCCGAUGUUACCUAUAUUAAACAGAUUAUGCAUUGUACAAAUAUAUGUCUUAUACAGACAGGUGCGUAUGUGUGUGUAUUUGGAAGAUCUUGAUUUGCCUUCCUGUCCAUGGUCAGACAAGUAGUUAAUCUUCCUUUCUUCAAUAGACAAUGGGGGGGUGGCACCUGAGUGGCUCAGUUGGUUGAGUGUCUGCCUUCAGCUCAGGUCAUGAUCCCAGGGUCCUGGGAUGGAGCCCUGAGUCCCUGCUCCUUGGGGGAGCCUGCUUCUCUCUCUCCCUCUGCAUGCCACUCCCCUGCUUGUGCUCUCUCUGUCAAAUAAUUAAAAAAAAAAAAAAGACAAUAGAGUACUCAAAUCAAACAGGAUGAUGUAUCAAGAUCCAGCUCAGCCUUUCUCAACUGUAAUUCUGUUGGGAGAAUUUUCCCUACUAUCCUAAGAACUCCGCUCUAUGCAGAUCUGGUGGUGCUAGUUAUGGCUCAUCUUGUCUCUAAGCAUCCAGAACGGUAUGAGCUGUGUGCCAUUCUGAGUACCACCCCAUUCCUGUCCUUUACCAGAAGUCUGGACCCUGGAGAGUGAUGAGGUGCUUUUUCCUCGCUUAGAGGGUACACGUAGACAGCACGGUGGGAAAGAGGCAAAAGAAUAUGUCCCCACUGCAUCGCUGAAGCUGUCUUGACAGUUGCUUUCCUUCUCCACCCCCAGGGCUGCGGGAAGACUUGCCACUCAGACAGUUAGGCACCAGAAUGGAGGUGCAUCUGUAACAUGUGAAGGUGCAUUUUGGAAGCAUUCCAAUCGGGCUAAGAGUAAAGUGUGUCAGAUUCAUUGGCUCGCCUAGGGAGAAAACCAUCCAUUUAUACGGUAACAUAAAACAUAUUUCACUUGGUAACAGGAGCAAAUGCUGCAUAUGCAGUCAAA
rnacentral:lncRNA from 1 species